rnacentral:rRNA from 1 species
AACGAACGCUGGCGGCAUGCCUAACACAUGCGAGUCGAACGAGACCUUCGGGUCGAGUGGCGCACGGGUGCGUAACGCGUGGGAACCUGCCCUUAGGUUCGGAAUAACGCCCCGAAAGGGGGGCUAAUACCGGAUAAUGUCUUCGGACCAAAGAUUGAUCGCCUUUGGAUGGGCCCGCGUUGGAUGAGCUAGUGGGUAGGGUAAAAGCCUACCAAGGCGACGAUCCAUAGCUGGUCUGAGAGGAUGAUCCGCCACACUGGGACUGAGACACGGCCCAGACUCCUCCGGGAGGCAGCCGUGUGUACUCUUGGCCACUCGGCUAAAUCCUGAUCCCUCCCUGCCGCGUGAGUGAUGAAGGCCUUAGGGUUGUCCCGCUCUUUUACCCGGGCUGCUCCUGCCAGUACCGGUCGAAUACGCUCCGGCUAACUCCGUG